rnacentral:lncRNA from 1 species
UUAGGGUAACACUUGUAUAUUUUUAAUUUUUAGAAUGGAAUAUUAUAACAAAUAUAUUUGUAAAACUUGGAGUUUUCUGCUCAUAUGAAUUCUACUUAUACUUUUUUUUUUUUUUUUUUUUUUUUUUUUUUACAGGUACACGUUAGUUGACAAAUGUAAACUAUCAGGUGCUUAUUGACGAACUGAAAGGUAAACUUGGUUAAUUUGAAACAUCUGAAAACAGUUCUACAUCAGUUGCUUGGCGUUUAAUGAAGAAUAUUAAUAAGAUAUUGCGUGUACUUCGCAAUGUUUAUAUACACAGAUUUAUUUCACCACAUGUCAUGCAGUAAUUCAGAUUCCUGACACAGAUGAUAUUCAGAUGAUAUUGAAAAUAAAGAAAUACUGAAAGGAAUAACAAUUCUGAUGUUCAGCCUGUCUUGAAAAUGGCACAGACUGUUUCUCCCAGGCAUCUGCUGGACAAGGACAUAAAUCCUGAAGUGUAAUUUUAAAUGCUGAGUUAGUUGGAAUUAGAGGAAAAUCUGGAUUUGUGUAUCAUUACGGUACAGUGCAGUUAUUUAAAUCUAAUUGCUCUCAGUUAUGCUUCCAGGAACAAAUACAUACAUCUGCACAUUCUGCAGAGGCUUACCUCUAGUUGCUACAUCAUCAUACUGAGCAUGAACUUCAGAAGCCUGUCUUAAAAGAGGGUUGAGUCCAUUUAAACAUGUUAGAGAUGAGACAUCUGGUAAGUGGGUGGGAUGCUCUGAUUUUCCAUUUCCAAAUGGGUGGAUCACAGGGUGUCCAUCCUGCGUAUAGCGGUGGAAGGGAUGGAAAUUAAGUCCAAAAUGAGCUUCAUGGGGCCAUUCCAUAAUACUAACAAACUGAUGUCACAAGGCAAAUAUUAUAGCAAGAUGUGUCUUGGCUUGGUUAUUUCCAUUCUCGCUUGUUCUCGCUUGUUUAUUCACAAAACAUUGAUUUUCUUGAAAGUUGUUCUCUUUCUUUUUCUUUUUUUUCCAGCUACUAUUGUUAAUAUCAGCAUUAAUUACCAUCCAGUACAGUACAGUAUUUUGUUUUGCUCAGAAUUAUGGCUAAGCAGAAGAAAAAUGAGACAUUUUUCUCCUCUGGAUUAUGAGAAUUUUCCCACUGGCAUCCCAAGACCCGUCCUGUAUGCAUGUCUCUGAUUCCACGCUCAGAGUUUAAGCCACAGCCAUUGCUCACACCAGCUGAGCAGGAGCUGAGUCCAUCCACCAUCUCAGCAGGACUGGUUGGGUAAAGAACAUGGAAUAUAAAAUAAAUGAAAGUGACACACAUCA